GUCUCCUUGGGAGCACCGGGGGCUCUGGCAGGGGGAUCGGAGCUAUGAACAGCAGACAGCAUGACCGGGAGAUGCGGAUUUCCAGCCCAAAGUCAUAACCUCUGCAGUUAGUUUUCUGGUGCUCAAAAUCUCCAAAUUAGAGCUUCAUUCCUCUGGCUUGAACAAAAAAAGGCACUGACAUCUGUUAACCAGCAGCGCUCAGAACUAUGCUAAAACAAUCUGAAAGCAACAGAAGCACUUCAAUGUUAGUUGAUUGAGAAAGAAAGAAAAUGAAGAAUGGUAACUGACACUACAAAGCAACCCGGCUCAUGCAGGAUCCUUCUGCAUAAUUGAGGGGUGGCUGCUUUUAAAUAAACAAGGAUGAAGACCAAUUACAGAGCACUGAAGAUGGUGAAUGAGGAUCUAGAUGCCUUCUGAACACCGUGUCUCUAUAAAAGAAACAGAUGGGGCAGUGGGUAAAGAAUGGGCUCCUAUCUGCCAAGGGACUUCUUACUGGUGGAGUGACUUCCAGCAAGUAAAUCAUCUCUCUGCAUCUCAGCCUUCGCAAUAAACUGGAGACUAUGGCACCUGAAGU